GGAGGGGUGGGUGAGUGGUUAAUACCACCAGACUGUAAAUCUGGCGCCUUAGGCUACACUGGUUCGAAUCCAGUCCCCUCCACCA
rnacentral:tRNA from 3 species